rnacentral:rRNA from 1 species
UACGUAGGGAGCAAGCGUUGUCCGGAAUCAUUGGGCGUAAAGCGCGCGUAGGUGGCCUCAUAAGUCCGCUGUGAAAGUCAAAGGCUCAACCUUGGAAAGCCGGUGGAUACUGUGGGGCUAGAGUACGGAAGAGGCGAGUGGAAUUCCUGGUGUAGCGGUGGAAUGCGCAGAUAUCAGGAGGAACACCAAUAGCGAAGGCAGCUCGCUGGGACGUUACUGACACUGAGGCGCGAAAGCGUGGGGAGCGAACAGG